GAUGAAGAACGCAGCGAAAUGCGAUAAGUAAUGUGAAUUGCAGAAUUCAGUGAAUCAUCGAAUCUUUGAACGCGCAUUGCGCCCGCCAGUAUUCUGGCGGGCAUGCCUGUUCGAGCGUCAUUUCAACCAUCAAGCCCCAGGCUUGUGUUGGGGACCUGCGGCUGCCGCAGGCCCUGAAAACCAGUGGCGGGCUCGCUGUCACACCGGGCGUAGUAGAUUUUAUCUCGCUCAGGGCGUGCUGCGGGUUCCGGCCGUUAAAAAGCCUUUUUUACCCAAGGUUGACCUCGGAUCAGGUAGGAAUACCCGCUGAACUUAAGCAUAUCAAUAAGCGGAGGA
rnacentral:misc_RNA from 1 species